CAGAGGUUCAUGUGUGGUCUCAGGCCUCCCUCAACAAGCAGCUACUGAGUAUUGGAGACAUCCAUGUCAAAAAUACUGUAAAAUGGCAUUAGGAGAGCUCCACAAGGAAUCUGUAAGUAGUUCAUGUGGGAACUCAGCUGAAAAUCGUAACUAGGAGGUCAAAGUGAUAAUAAUCACUGAAAACAUGGGGCCAGGUAAACACCAACCAAAAAAGAGCGUAAAAGAUCAAAGAGCAGCCUCCAUCAGGUGGUCAGGUCUGAGUCCCAAAGAUUCACCUCUCAUCCCAGAUUUGGUCAUCUGGAUUCUCUAGAUGGUAUCAGCUUCUCAGGUGAGAAUAAAGCAAAAAGAAUCCUGAAUUUCAAGUUUUUAGAUGAGAGAACUGGAGCACAGAGAGGUCUGAUAUCUUGUUUCCAAUCACAAAGCUGAGAUCGAAACCAGGAAAUCUGGCUCCAGAGUUCAUGCUUUUAACUAGGACACUGAGACAACGAAUCAUCACCAGCUCCCUCCUCCUCCUCUUCUGCCUCCUCUUGCUCCUCCUCCUCCUCUUCUUCUGGAAAUAAAGUCCUAAAUGCAAACUUUCA